UCUGGCCCUUUCCAGUGAAGAAAAAAAAAAUUAAUAAGAGGCAACGCCUCUUUUUCUCUCAGAACCGAGAGAAGAAAAGAAGAAAAAGAAAAAGGGGAAAUUUUUCCCUUUUUCGUGAUCUACGAAGAUCUAACGGCUUGAUCUUCAAUCUGUCUUCAGAAACGUGAUCCUUGCACUCGGAUCUAUGAUUUCGUAAUUUUGGGUUAAAUACCAAAUUUAUGAUUUCGUAAUUUUGGGUUAAAAUAUUGAAAUAUGAGUUUAAUCUAGUGUUUUCUUUAGGUAAUGGGUUACUUGGAACUUGCUUGAAACUACCUAAACCAUGAGUUUUGGUUUGGUGAAUUUUUUGACGCAUUGCAAGGUGGUGUCUAGAAGGCCUAGUGCUUAAUAUCCGCGCAGCCAAUACGUUUAUGCUUUGGUUGCAGGUUUUGCGGAUAUAGAUAUUGACUCGUCCACCUAGCGUAUGAGAUGCUAUGAUUGAAGCACAUCGUGACAGUCAUAGGUCACGGACUCGGGGGUAGUCCGUAUUUGGGUAUUUUAUUUAUGGCUUGUGUCAUGCGUGGCAUAUAUAUUUGUUGAGCCUGUAUUUUAGUAUAUAGUCAGUGUAAUAUGUUUUAUAAGCCUUAAAUAGAUAGACUUGUAAAUGGCUCUUGUUGUAAUUAACUAUUAUGUAUUAGAUGUAUUUCCGCUUAUGAUAUGUGUUCCGCUGUACAUUGAUUAUUA